rnacentral:rRNA from 1 species
GGYUAAUACCNGGUUGGGAUGACGGUACCCAAAGAAUAAGCACCGGCUAACUUCGUGCCAGCAGCCGCGGUAAUACGAAGGGUGCAAGCGUUACUCGGAAUUACUGGGCGUAAAGCGUGCGUAGGUGGUCGUUUAAGUCCGUUGUGAAAGCCCUGGGCUCAACCUGGGAACUGCAGUGGAUACUGGGCGACUAGAGUGUGGUANAGGGUAGCGGAAUUCCUGGUGUAGCAGUGAAAUGCGUAGAGAUCAGGAGGAACAUCCAUGGCGAAGGCAGCUACCUGGACCAACACUGACACUGAGGCACGAAAGCGUGGGGAGCAAACAGGAUUAGAUACCCUGGUAGUCCACGCCCUAAACGAUGCGAACUGGAUGUUGGGUGCAAUUUGGCACGCAGUAUCGAAGCUAACGCGUUAAGUUCGCCGCCUGGGGAGUACGGUC